AUGGACGACCCCCGUCCAGGGGUUGUAGCCGCCGGCCCAGGGUGGCGGGGGAUGCUGCCCGACGUAGCGGGGCUACUGGGGUUGGCCGCCGCCGCCACCUUUCCCUCCUCCUUGGCGCUGGCCGCCGCGGCCGCGACGGCGAUUCACGACGUUCCCGCCAUUGUGCGGCGGUUGAGGCGGCUGAGGCACCGGCUGCGGAGGGGGGUGCUGCAUGGGGACCGGCUGACGAGGCACCAGUGGUGGUGGAGUCGGAGAGAGGCCGGCGGCGAGGGCAGUGUGAGCGGCGCGGGUACGGAGGUUCUUCAUCCGCCGUUCCUCAUGACGAAGAUAGGCCACCGCCCGCUCGUAGGUGGGGUUGGCCAUGAGGCUGAGAUUGGACGCGGCGUUGCCGAAGUCCUCGUUGAGGCCGGCGGUGAGCGUCGACAGGAGAAGCUUGUAGGUGGGCUUAAUUUUUUGUCUUGA
rnacentral:rRNA from 1 species